CACAGUAUGGCUGAGUGGUUUCAGCAUUGGGCUACGAAUCUGGAGGCCAGGGUUCGAAUCGCAGCUCAGCCA